GUCUACGGCCAUGUCAUCCUGAACGCCCGAUCCCAUCUGAUCUCGGAAGCUAAGCAGGGUUGGGCCUGGUUAGUACUUGGAUGGGAGACCACCUAGGAAGACCAGAUGCUGUAGGCG
rnacentral:rRNA from 1 species